CACUGUGGCAGGGGGUUACACGCGGCCACUGUGGUGCGAGAAAGGGGAAGAAGAGUGGAGGGUGGUAACGGACAAGGGCCUUCGGAAACGAGGAGGGGAAUCCAACAGAGGUCACGAAGUCGGGCGGCUAAUUCGAAAGGGAUCGCAGCAACCCCAGCGGGCUGUUGUACGUUAUACAUAUAUAUACGUGCUCCCCAAGGUUUGUACAUUCACCCCACUCCCCAUAACCCCACAGACACUCUCACAGCCACCCACCCACCCACAGACACUAUCACGAAGGUCUCUUGCGCGUCCACGUGCACUAGGCACAAGCGCGAACCUUUUGGUCACGGGAGAAAAGAGGGGGCAUGCGUGCUUAGGUGUUUGUGCGUGUGCUGCGUGUUCCUACAUUCGCGUAUGUGCGUGUGUGAUGUCCUGUCUCCCACGAGCUUCUUAUCGCCUCUCACAGGCGUAUUUUUUCUUUUGCGAGGUUUGUUCUAUUCGUGCGCUCGUGACGGGGGGUGGAGGGGGCGGGACACACCCCUCAGCGCGUGGUAUCCCAGCGUCCCGUGCCCCCACUCUGUGUGUGGGGAAGCUAAGCAAGCCCCCUCAUCCCUGCCGCAUGCUGAACCGCUUCCGGUGGUGAAAUGGUAAGGCACCUACGACGAGGGGGGGAGCAGGUCAGAGCGAUGCAUCGCUGCGGACGUUAGCGGUCAGCUCCUGGGUCUCGUUGCGUCGGAGCGACCUGCGAAAGUGAAUAUGUUUGCGCCAUCGGUGCAUUAGGCAGAGUGUCGGCGUGGCUUGAGCGUGUGUCUCGCCCGGCCCUCACUGCCCUUGCUGGUGAAGGGAGCCGGAGCCACCCCGAGGAGGGGAUGCGCCAGGGGGGCGGCCAGCACGGUGGAGGCGGCUGUGAGGCGACCUGCGAGGUGGGUGGGCGGCCAGCGUUAGAGGCAGGGGGCCGCGCUGAGGUGGCGGAGUCGGCGCAUUGCCGUAACGCGCGUGUCGGCUGCCGCUUCGCGCUGCUCUCAUGACGGGGUGGGGUGGGGAGAGGGGCAUUGGGCUCAUGCUGUACAGCGGAGAGUGGGCUCACACUGAUGGCAAAGAAACGCGAGUCUUUCUUCUGUUCGGUGUCUUCUUCGGCUGCCUUCCCGUGCGUGCACGCACGUGCGCCCAUACGGUACUUGUUUGCUGUAUCGUCGGUGUAGUAUCGGACCGGGAGGUCGGCGAUAUUGCCAUGACGUCGGCGAGAAUGAGCAAGGGGAGAGCUGUUGGCUCCAGGAGCGGCGCCGUGGAAGGUAAGAGAACGAAAACAAGAGACAUGCGCGUGCACCGCGAUUUGCCCGAUGCGCUUGCGGUGACGUGAAGGCGCUCGUUUUCGUGUGGCGCUGUGCAUACGGGCAUGCACGCCUUUUCCCUCCUCCGUCCCUCGAUCACCUACUCACCUGUGGUAUGUCAUCUUUGCCUCUUCUUGCACCUCCCAGCUCUCACCUCCUCUCUCUCUGUAUCGUCAUCUCGCUUCGCGCGGUGUGGAGGUGGCUGCCGGGGCGCGGUCGGCUUGGGACUCUUCCUUUUGUGAGGGUGGGCUCUCAUUUGCGGGUGCUGCGAUUACUUCGUUCUCCAUCUCUCCCCCGCGUUAUAUCUUGCCAACUGGCUCUCUCCUCUUGUCAAG
rnacentral:misc_RNA from 1 species